AUUGAACGCUGGCGGCAUGCCUUACACAUGCAAGUCGAACGGUAACAGGUUAAGCUGACGAGUGGCGAACGGGUGAGUAAUACAUCGGAACGUGCCCAGUAGUGGGGGAUAGCCCGGCGAAAGCCGGAUUAAUACCGCAUACGGCCUACGGGUGAAAGGGGGGGAUCGCAAGACCUCUCGCUAUUGGAGCGGCCGAUGUCAGAUUAGGUAGUCGGUGGGGUAAAGGCCUACCAAGCCUACGAUCUGUAGCUGGUCUGAGAGGACGACCAGCCACACUGGGACUGAGACACGGCCCAGACUCCUACGGGAGGCAGCAGUGGGGAAUUUUGGACAAUGGGCGCAAGCCUGAUCCAGCCAUGCCGCGUGCGGGAAGAAGGCCUUCGGGUUGUAAACCGCUUUUGUCAGGGAAGAAACGCUCUGAGUUAAUACCUCGGGGUAAUGACGGUACCUGAAGAAUAAGCACCGGCUAACUACGUGCCAGCCGCCGCCGUAACAC
rnacentral:rRNA from 1 species